rnacentral:rRNA from 1 species
CCUACGGGUGGCAGCAGUGGGGAAUAUUGCACAAUGGGGGAAACCCUGAUGCAGCGACGCCGCGUGAAGGAAGAAGUAUUUCGGUAUGUAAACUUCUAUUAGUAGGGAAGAAAAUGACGGUACCUGACUAAUAAGCCACGGAUAACAACGUGCCAGCAGCCGCGGUAAUACGUAGGGGGCAAGCGUUAUCCGGAUUUACUGAGUGUAAAGGGAGCGUAGGCGGUUGAGCAAGUCUGAAGUGAAAGCCCGGGGCUCAACUUCGGGUCUGCUUUUGAAACUGUUGAACUAGAGUGCAGGAGAGGUAAGUGGAAUUCCUAGUGUAGCGGUGAAAUGCGUAGAUAUUAGGAGGAACACCAGUGGCGAAGGCGGCUUACUGGACUGUAAAUGACGCUGAGGCUCGAAAGCGUGGGGAGCGAACAGGAUUAGAUACCCCAGUAGUC